rnacentral:tRNA from 1 species
GGUUGACAGUGGCUCAGUGGGAUAAUGCCUUGUACUGGUGAUCCUUAGGUUGAGAGUUCAAAUCCCACUUGAACCA